UCAUGUCCCUUCAAUUUUGACUCGAUCAAGAAUCACUCUCCAAAAAAUCCCAAAAAUGUAUACAACAAUUUGGUAUUCACACAGGUCUCACGCAUAUCACAAUCCUUAGUAUUAUUAUGCAAAUCAACCAAUUGAUUUCAGUUCGUGUUGAUUCGGGAUUUAUCACAGUUCCGAAACGUCGUUGGUUUAUGGUUUCCAUCAAGACUCAACAAGUAGGCUAUUCAUCUAAGUCUUGUGAGAUUCUCAAACCAAGAAAUGAACUCAUUCACACUCCUCGCCACAUUACUCGCUCGAUCAAUGUUUUGUCACAAUGGAAAGAUUUCGACGACUGUCCAUUAAAUGCAGGAGGCGUGCGCACAAACACCGAAUGUCUGGGGAAGGAGACCCACAUGAAUGACACUGGUUUGAGGAUCUUCAGUGCUUAGUUUGGGUAAUUUGGACCUCUUAAAAGACAUUUAUCUCUUGUGCGAUAUUACACCAAUGAGUAAUCUCUGUUGUGCAAGCUUCUGUUGCAAUAUGACAAUUACUUGAAAUUGGAUUGAAUUUAAAUUGGUUAAGGCAACUGUCA